GUCCAAAGCUGCUACGCUGCUGCCCCUAGAAGCUUUCGAGGAGAACAUCGACGUCAUUUGCACCAAUGGUUCGAAGCAGUACGCAGAUUUCCAGAAAUCCGUUCGCUGCUUGAACUCUGUUGGGACGAAAAUCAAUGGCUGCUUGAAGGCUCUCCGUGAGAGCAUGCGGACGUCAGUUGCCAUGGCACCUCCCAAGGAAAUCGUCCCAUACGUAUGCUGCCCGUACGGUGACUUGCUCGACUGCCUCGAUCCGGUACUGGAGCACUGCGAAAACGACGGUGGCAAGGAGUUCAUCACCGGAACUUUGGAGCAGGUGUUCGGGGAUUCGCUCA